GGUGAAUUUCAAAAAAAAGAAUUAAGUGUGGUGUUUUAAUUGCAAUAUUUUGAAAAUAAUAUGAAAAUAUGUUAUUUUCGAUAAUUUAUUGAUGUAAAAAAUAUUGAAACACAGAGUAUAUAACUUUAUUUAACGUUUGGAUGUUUGGAAUAAGAAAUGACAUAUAUUUUCCUAGAGAAGCGUGAUAAAGCUCAACUUUUUCUAAACCAAGUAAAGGAUUAUACCUGUUUAAUCUAAUGUUUUGCAUCAUCAUUGGACAAGUGUAAAGUAAUUGGAGGCUGUCCAGAAAAAUAUGUCAAACAAACUGUUAUAGAUGCGUGAUUGGCUGAUUCGUUGUCGGGGAGAAGAGAAAAUAGUCACCAUGACCCAAAACAUAGACGCAAAUAAGAGUAGCACUACUAUUAUGCUAAAGACAUUACUAGCAUGCCAAAAUUCAAAUUUGUAAGUGUACCCACUAAUUAUUAUAUUUGGUACAUUGAACUUUGACGUAUCAUUAAUAGUUGGAAUGAGCGAUGGAUUCAAUUUUGUCUCACUCUUAAUACAAUUAUUUUU
rnacentral:lncRNA from 1 species